rnacentral:lncRNA from 1 species
CUUACUAGAAAUAUAAUUUAAAAAAUUGUAGUACUCUACUUUUGGAGCCUCUUCGGAGUUGAGUGUUGUAAAACAUGCUAUUUUAUUUCUUAUUUAAAUCACUCCUGUCGGGAAACAACCUUUAAAUCUGUUAACUGAAUUCCACCAUCUAGUCAUUGGAAAACAAUCUCACAUUCAUCAAAUUGAAAGUUAGUUGGUUGGAUUUGAAGGAAAACAGCCGCAAUCUCCUCUCUAAUCCUCAAAUCGCACAACGUCAGGUAUGAAAUCCCCGAACUCUUCUCUGUAUUACAAAAUUUAUGAAGUGAAUAUUUUUCCUAAUCACAACAUCUAUGCAUAUUAGAAGGAAAAUAAUCAGGCAAACUUAUUUCCCAUAAGAUGUUUGCUCAAUUGCCUAAAUGAGUCCCUUUGCUGUGUGAAUGAUCUUUUAGUGGAAUUCUGAAUCAGUAUGGUUGAGAUCUAUUUGUUUACAUUGUUAAAUGGGGAAUCAUGAUACAGUUUGAGUGUAAUUGAGAUCAGUUGUACUGAGCCUUAAAAGAAUCUUAACAACUGAACUUUUUUUUUCGUGCUUUGAAAUCUGAAAAAUUGAACUUCGAGUAGGUGAAUUUUGUGCAUGAUUUUUUGUAAACUUUCAUAAGAAGGUACAAUACUCUAAGAUGGGGGUGAGGUUUGGUGUAUUUUCUGAUGUGAAUUCUCUCAUUGUGUGAAGUUUCCUUUCCUGAAAUUCUGAAUUAUUAGUAUCGACUUGUUAGAUUGCAGUGAUAGUAGGGCAUAAUUGGGGGUGACCUCCUAGCUGUUAGAAAUAUCUGUCGUAAAAUUUGAUGGUUUGCCGUCUAAAAAGUUUUGCGAUGCAUGUAUUUCUGAUGGUCUCUUUCCCGCCGAUAAUUCAUAUACUCUUCUGAUGACUUUUCGGCAGAUAUGACCGUAAGAAUUUCGUGUAAUUCCAAUAUUGUUGCUCAACCUAGAUUGGCCGUCGGAAUUUCGCGUACUUCCAGUAGUGUUGCUCAACUUAGACGUCAAGUUAAGAGGGGAGAAGUAUACCCUCAAUUCUCUAUGUUAUGAAAGAAUUUUAAGUACUUGCUCAAGAUGCAAUAAGUUUAAGUUGCAUCUUGAUCUUCUUUAAUCUCCUAUGACAUCUUUCAUGUCAAUCCUUCCUUAUGGAGAUUUGACACAAAAAUCGAAGCUAAUCAAUAUCCUAAUUAUAAUUACAACAACAACAACAACAACAACAAUAACAACAAUUACUAUGCCUCAGUCCCAAUCAAGAUCCUAACUGUAGCAGAUUUAUUAAAAGAACUGGGCAAAUAGAUUUAACAAAAGGAAAAGUCCCGCCUUGCCUACAAAUAGAUGUUAUGAAUCAAACCAAACUAUAGCCUAUUUGAGGCUAAAUAUUAUUGCAAACAUUUGUUACACACGAGAUGAUUUGGAAGAGAAGAUUCUUAUAAGAAUUUGCUCAACAUGCAAGAAGUUGAGUCUUGAUCGUGUUUAACCUCGCUACAACAUCUUUCAUGUCAAUCCUUCCUUUAGGAGAUUUAACACAACAAUCUAUUGCCACUUUCAUGAUGGAAACCACACAGUCUAACUUUUUCAUUAAGUGAUUAUCCUGUGGCUUUAUUAAGUUGGCAUCGACAAUUUCCAUUACUGCAUGUGAGAAUGAGUUGCUCACCCAUUGCUUCAAGCUAAGAUCUUCAUCAAACAUUUCAUCAUUAGGCUUUGUCCUUGUAAAUGUUUCCAUUAACAUGAUUCCAUAACUAUAAACAUCGCCUUUUGUUGACACCAAUCCCUCUAGUCCAUACUCUGUAAUCAGUCAAUUUUUAAAUUCAGCAUUUACCGGUGGGAAAGAGAAAUAUUCAAAAGCAAUUAACAGAUUGCUUACCUGGUGCAAUAUAACCUAAUGUAGCUAAAGUUUUUGUGAAUGAAGCACUCUCAUCGUCAGAAAGCAGUUUUGAAAUGCCAAAGUCACUUAGGUGGGCAACCAUGUCCUCAUCCAACAAGAUGUUACUAGGCUUCAAAUCACAGUGAAUCACGGGCAAUGAGCAGCCAUGGUGGAGAUAUUCCAAGGCACAUGCCACAUCUAUCAUUAUACCUAGUCUAUGCUUGAUGUCUAAGAAGUAGUUGUGCGAAUACAACCACUUAUCCAGGCUCCCGUUAGGCAUGUACUCAAGUAUCAAAGCCUUAAAUUCAUGGUUGGAACAACUAGUGAUGACUUUGGUGAGAUUCCUAUGGAGAAUGUUGCGCAAAACUUGGCAUUCUGUAUCAAAAUUCCUAAAUGCUGCUUGCAAUUGCAGAUUGAACACUUUAGCUGCAAUAGGAGUCCCAUCUCUGAGGAUGCCUUUGUAAACAGAGCUGAAGCUCCCAGAACCAAUCAAAUUGCUCUCGUUGAGCGAAUCAGUUGCUUGGAGCAAUUCAUAGUAUGAAAUUCGUUCUCUUGUUGAGACGUCAUACGAUGAUUCAGCUGUUUGCUGAGGAUCAAGUUUUUUGCCUCUUAUGUACCUUAUCCAUACAAGCACAAACGCGAUAGGCAUUAAUACAACAAGUGGAAUUCCGAUCAGUAGAAUUAGAACAAGUACUUUUUUCCUCUUGGAUCUAUGCUUUGCAGUAUUAGUGGGGCAUGGCAGAACACGAAAUCUCGGAGAACCACAAAAUGCUUCAUUGAACAUGAAAGACUGACUGGAGAGGUUCUUGAACGGACCGCCCGAGGGGAUUUCACCAACCAACUUGUUGAAAGAAACAUCAAAAUACUUAAGAUUUUGAAGCUUCUCCAAUGACUUUGGAAUUAAUCCUGAAACAUUGUUAUGAGAAAGGUCUAGAAAUUCCAAAGCCGACAUGCUGCUCAUUGAGUCAGGUAUUGAUCCUUGCAAUUUAUUGUCUCUCAAAGACAGGUGUAUUAGAUUUUGCAAGCUACCAAUUCCUCCAGGAAUGCCAUUUGAGAGUGUAUUCAUUGAUAGAUCAAUAUAUAUCACGGCUUUUAGAUUUCCGAUUUCCGGAGGUAAAGAGCCACCCAAGUUGUUUGAAGAUAAGUCUAGCUUCAAGAGAUUUAUUAGGUUCCCUAUGCUUGCUGGUAUGUCUGAACGGUAUUUGUUGGAACCUAGAAAUAACUCCUGAAGGGAAGUUAAGUUCCCUAUACAAUUAGGAAGAGAUCCUGAAAGUUGAUUUUGGGUCAAGUGUAAAUAACCCAAGUUCUGCAAUUUACAUAGAUCGAUUUGAGUAAAUCCAGAAAGUUUAUUGUGACUCAACUUACAACUCUGAAGGAAUCUCAAGUUGCUAAUUGUUGUGGGAAUUGAUCCAGCUAAGCCAUUUUCAGAAAGAUCAAGCUCUAAUAAGCUACUUAAGUUCCCAAUUCCUUUUGGAAGUUCCCCUUUAAUUCUGCAAUCAGUAGCUCUAAACCUUAGAAGAGAAGUGACAGAAAGGUUCCCUAGUGAGGCUGGAAGCACACCAUAUAGAGGGUUUGAAGAUAGAAAAAGAAAUUUUAAAUCUCUACAAUUUGACAAGGAAGUCAAGAAGCUUAACCUAGUGUCGCUCAUUAAAUUGUUUACAUCCAAGCCUAGGGACUGUAUACGAGUCAAAAGACCGAGGGAGUUGGGAAUCAAACCGGUGAGUCUAUUGAAAGAAAGGUCUAGACUAGUCAGUUUGGAACAAUUGGAGAGAGAAUGAGGUAUAGUCCCAGAAAGAUUUAAGUUGCUCAGACGAAGAACUUCAAUGUUGGGUAACGUAGAACCUAUGUCUAAUGGGAGGGUUCCUGUCAGAUUAUUGAAUAUAAGUUGAAUCUCUCUCAUCCCUGAUAUGUUGAAGAUCUCCAUUGGUAUUGAACCAGUAAACUUGUUGAAACUCAGAUCAAACAACUCAAUGAGAUUGCUUACUUCUUUUGGUAUUUCACCUGCCAAUGUAUAUAUGUAUGUAUAAUUAGUAAUUAAGAUUUAAGGAAUAUCUUGCUAGUAAUGAUUUAACGUAGUUUGUUAAGUUCACUCUAGCAAGCUAUAUAAUAGCUGCAAUAUCUUAGUAAUUAAUUUCCAUACCCCUUUUGACUACGUACAUACCUGUAAGCAUAUUGUCAGCAAGAUCUAGAAUUUGCAAUUUGGUCAAAUUGCCAACCUCCCUUGGAAAGGAUCCAAUAAGAUUGUUGUGAGCUAGUACCAAAACCUGCAGCGAGGAGAUAUUGAAUGUGGAGACUGGGAUUCGACCAGAAAUAUGGUUUGUCUCCAGCCCUAAAAUCACCAAAUUAUUAAGAAUCCCGAUUUCACUAUGUAUGGGUCCAUCAAACUUGUUAUAAGAUAAAGACAAUAGUUGAAGGUUUGAACAGUUUGGCAAGCUUAGAGGCAUAUGACCGCGUAGCUCGUUCUUACUUAGAUAAAGCUUUUCGAGCAUUGGAAUAUAAUCACACAUGGCAGCAGGUAGAUUUCCUGAUAAGGUAUUUUUUGUAAAUGCAAUGACUUCAAUUCCAGAAAUGUUGAAGAUCGAGAAUGGUAUAGAACCUGUAAGUUGAUUUGAUUCUAUUGACAAUAUUUUUAGGGUUUGAAGUCUUCCAAUCUCUUCUGGGAUGUUUCCUUCAAGGAAAUUUUGAGAAAGUUCUAAAGUCAUCAACAUUGAGGCAUUCGAGAGAGACAGAGGGAUAGAACCGGUAAACUUGUUUCCACCUAAACUUAAAAACCUUAGAUUUUCAAUAUUUCCAAUCUCUUCUGGGAUGUGGCCCUCUAAGGAAUUGCAUGUCAAAUCCAAAGUUUGAAGCGUGGAAAUAUUAGAAAAUAAAGAGGGGAUGGAACCACUAAAACUAUUAUUCCUUAGAGUUAGAACUUGAAGUUGGUGUAAGACCCCGAACCAGGAAGGAACCUCCCCGCUAAAGUUGUUAAAACCAAGUCUAACAAACCUUAACCGAUGCAAACGUGCCAUUUCUUGAGGCAAAUUGCCAUAGAAAUUGUUGCUACCCAAGUCGAGAGAAACAAGAAAUGUGAGAUUUCCGAAAUUAGGGGGAAUUCUGCCUGUAAGAGCCAUGUUGGAAAUGUUCAAUGACUUCACUCUAUGGUGGCGAGGACCACAUGUGACUCCAAUCCAAUCGGAAAUAGGAGUGGCUGGAGACCAACUUUCAUAUAACAAGUGAAAAGGAUCUGCAAUGAUUUGGGAUUUCAAAGAAAGAAGAGCUAAUUGAUCAGUGGUAAUGUUGGUGUGACUCAUGGCUAAACUAGCCACAACCAAGUGAAAGAACAAGAGAAAAGAGGUGAAGGCUUUCUCCAUUAGUACUUUAGAAAUUAGAAAGAAGUAGGCGUGGCUAUGUACAAUGGGCAAUGAGACUUUAAAUAUAAGUUGAUCUCCUUGGUAUCUUCUGCGGAUGUUUUAGUUCUCGUUAUCCUCUCCUUAUUUAGCAACCACAGCAAUCCUUUUCCUUGAGUGUCCCCAAAGACUUGACUCUAAACUCUUGUUGGAGUAAGUAGAGGUGCAAAGUCUGGCUAUGCAUUAUUCUCAAUCGUCCUCACACGGAAAAGAAAUUAAAUUGGACAAUACCGGGUGGGGGUGGGGUGAGGAAUAAAGAAAGAAGAGUUCAGAAUGAUAUAACACCAAAGAUUUCAUUAGCUUUUUCGAUAUUGCUUACUAAAUUUCGAAAAGGAGGAGGAUAAUUAUAUUAUACCUUAGAAGAUGUUUUUAUUUUGUUCAUUUUUCCAGAAGUACGUUGAAGCUUAAAUCCACUGCAUGCACGGUUCUUAAUAGAAAUUUAUAAGAUGUAAGUUUGAUGACCACUUAAUCAUUUCAGAUUCCAGACAAAGAGACCACAAGUUUUUGCUUCUAAUCUAAUUAAAGAAAGCAUCAGUUGGUUCCCCAAUAUUAUCGAGUUAAGAAAAGGACUGUCAGUGAGAUGAUACAUGGACUAGUAGAAAAUUUUAAGAGGGUAUUGUGCAUCAGGCUCAAGAAACUAUGAUUUCCCUAAUAAUCGAGUUUAACAAGCACGUAGUUAUCUUUUGAAUGACUAGAUAGUUGUAUAAAUUAAAGGGAUCUCCGUAUUUAACAAGCACAUCAACCCCCUUUCUUUGAGAGGUCCCAACUCCCAAAGACUUGACUGAUGUGAGUAAGGUCUUGCUUUUUAUGUUUUCUUUUCAAAGAGAAAGACUUUGAUCAAAUCCAAGUCUUCUUCCGCAAAAGCAGUCUGGAAACUUGGUGUUAUUCAAAGAACCUUCAAACACAAUGGGAUGAAUAUGUACGUUGGGCGUAUCCGAAGAGUACAUCGGUCCCUUAAUGUGCAAGUCUUGCGAGACGAGAGCUCCAGGCGUCUGCCAGAGGCGGAUUUAGGAUAUGAGGUUUACAAGAGUUACUAGGUUUCCGAGAACCCAUAUUCGAUGCUCUAGGUCAGGCCCUGGCGUCUCCAAUGACGUUGUACGAGUGCCUAAUUACCCGGUGCGAGCACUGAUUCUUAUUUUUUUAAAAACAUUGAUCUAUGUUCGUUGUUUAGUCGGUGUAGAAUCUAUGGAAUUCAAGUUUGCAGAUCGCCUCUAAAGAAAAAACAGAUAGAAUUCUUUUGUUAUUUUCCAAACACAUGACUAGUAUUAGGCUAGCUGCGUUCACUUUUUAAUACCAAUUUCAUAAAUAAAUAGAAUGGCAGUGAAAGACACCUAAAUUUCUGCAUUAUAUUAUUACAGGGACUCUCUUCUUGAUUUGUGGGGUUUACUUAUCUUUAGGAAGGGCUUAGUUUAUGGGUGUUUGAGAUUCGGAGGAUAAUUGUAGUACCUAGAUUAUGGCUCAACCUAGAGAUUAUUAGUCCUUCAUCAAUCAAAUUAAGUAGUUGGUUUUCUUCCACAUCCUUAAACUACAGACAGGAGACUGCUUUAGAAGCCUAUUCUAGAAAAGCUCAAGCGUACUCUUUUAUUGUAUAUAUGGUAAAUGAUUCUUAUGGGACGAUAAAGAAAUGAAAAAAUGCAUUUUAUACAAUGAAUCUUCAACGUUUUUGUCCAGUCAGAUUAAUGUCCAAACACAAAUUUUAAACUUUCAAAUACUUUUUUGUUCAACUUAAAAUUCACAUAAUACCCCCUCCGUUUCAAAUUAGACGAGAUACUUUCCUUUUUAGUCUAUUCUAAAAUAAAUGACAUAUUUCUAAAUUUGGAAAUAAUUUAACUUUAAACUCUUCAUUUACCUAUUUUACCCUUAAUGAGAAACUUUUAUUUAGUGGAUUAAUUCUGAUAAGUGAAUUCCACCGUCUGUCAUUGGAAAACAAUCUCACAUUAUGUGUUUUUUUAAUUGCAUUAUUACAUCACUAAAAUACCAAAAAUACAUUAGUCACUUUACAUGCAUUGUUAGUUAAUUAAAUAGUCAAUUGUUAAAUUAAAAUAGGUAAGUAGGUUAAUUUUGCAAAUUAGUUUGAAUUAGGUGUGUUAAAUAAAAAUGGUUAAAAUUGAAAGUUAAAGGGAAGGAAGAAAGAAAGGAAAAUGGGUUGCUAUGUUGACAUUCCAAUUGGGCCAAACACUUCAGCAGCUCAGUCUAUAAAAUCCACGGCCAAUUCACCCCAGACCCGGUCCACUUCGCCUGGUCUCCAAAAGACUACCAAACGACCCCGUUUUGGACCAGGGCAAUCUCAGCCAUCCUUCAAACCCCAUCCAACGGCCCUGAAUUAACCCCCAUUUUAUAUAAAACUCUCUUAAACCAGCCCCGCCAAAGACUCUCUCACACGCCCAAACGCCUCUCAUCUAUCCUCACUGUGUAUCAGCCGUUUGCCGCCGCCGAAAAUCGUCCACGGCGGCGGCCAACCUCUAAACAUCCCCAAAAUUUCAAAUACAACCUCCUCCUCCUCCUCUUUCACAAUCUCUAGCUAUUUUCUUCUAAAAACCCCUUAAGCAUCACGAAUAGUAGAUCUAAGAAGGCCGGAAAAAACCCUAAAUCUGUCCUUUUCUGAUUUCUCCUCAAUCUCGGCCCGUUUGAACUCGAAACCUACAUCAAUUGAUUGCUCUUGAUUAGAGCGAUCAAUUGAUGUUAGUAUUGGUUCAUUUCACGGCCACCAGAAUCUGGUCCCCCAUAUUGCUUCGAUUGUUUUCUCCGACUCGUUGGAUUUUCUGUGUUAAACGCCGUCUGAAUUAGAAGGUAUAUCCUCCUUGCCGUCUCUUUCAUGUUCCCAUUAUUUCAGUUUUCUCGUGUCUUUGAUUGAUUGUUUGAGCAUAAUUAUUUUUAGUGAUUGCAUACAUGUGUGUCACUCCGAUUUUUUGAUUGUUUCACCACAUGAAUAAGUGUCAAUGGGUAUUAUCAUGUAUCUCAGUUCCAUUGAAAUCUUUGGAUUCAUUUGAUUAUGGAUUUUAGUCUUUUAGAUGAUCAGACUUAGUUUAUGUUGAAUUGAUUUUGCGAUUUUAUUAGUGAUGCACAUGUCUCAUAUGGUUCGGUUGGUUUUGUUUUGGAUUUGGGAGUGUGGUGGUGGGCUAGGAACAAGGCCCAGAUGUAGGCCCAACUCAAGUGGACUUUAGGAGCAAUUAGGAGAAGAAGUAAAAUCUGGAAAAUUGGUAAAUAACAGUAAAUACAGGGGUUAAUUGGGGAAGUUCAAUUAAAAGAAUCUUUUGGUAAAUGAUUUAGGAAGCUUCUAAAAAGGACUAAAGUGCAACGAAAGGGAAAGAAAAGGGGGUCGGGUGCUGGUCUUAGAGGGUAAAUAACAGAAAAGAAAGGAGGAAAAAAUAAGGAAAGAAUAAUAUGAAAAACAACUGUACAAAAAUAUGUAAAAUGCCUUUUCCCCACAUUUUCUAUAUAUUCUCUCAUUUUGCAUAUCACAAGGACACUUUUCAUUUUGCAUUUUUCAGAGAAUACACAUUCCUCUUUGUUUACCCGAAAAACGGAUAGGGUUGAAUUUAUACGUGGUUCUAGGGACACGUGGUAUAAAUUGGUACAAACCAGAAAGAUAAGUAGAAAUAUAUCGAAUGUUUAUUGCAAAAAAUGAAUGAAAUACAAACCAAAUUGAUUAGAGAAUGAUUUAUAAACGAGCAAGAUGAAUUAAUGUCCAAAGCUCAAAAAAAGAUAAUCUCUCUCUAUAUCUCUGUUUUUGAAAUGGUUUAUGGCCCGGUCACUUAAAAAUUCUCGAAGAUGCCUUUUAUUGAAUAACCGGGCUACCUCCUCUCAGUUGCCUGCAAUCUUCCGUUCUGUGGCCAUGAGUGCCAUACUAUUCGCACAUUUGAUUGGGAUUCCUCUGGGCUGGAUCGGUCUGCAGAGGUCGGGGCCACUUAGUAUCUUUGAUGCGUCCGAUAGCUGACACGAUGGCGGAUGCAUCGAUGUUGAAGUUAUAUUCUGAUAGCCGUGGUGCUUCCUUAGGUCCGGUAUGCCUGUCGAACCCAUUCCUGUUCAUCAGCCCUCGAGACCCUUGGCCUCGAUCACUUCUUUUAUUUCUUUGUACGGGGUCACGUCUUGGUUCGCUACCCCUAUAAUCUCCACUAUACGACCGGUAUCGGUCCCUGAUCGGCCUUGGUUCGCGGUUGAUGUCCCUUUUAAUAACGGACCCAGAACCCGACUGGUCGUCUUCGACUCUAAUCUUCGAUUGAUACCGAUUGUGUACAUCGGCCCAGGCAACAGCUGGGUACUCUAUUAGGUUCUGCUUCAACCGUUGUGAAACUAUCGAGCUUCGUUCGUUCAGACCUUGAGUGAAAGCUUGAACAGCCCAAUCGUCUGUGACUGGUGGUAGGUCCAUUCGUUCCAUUUGGAAACGGGAUACGAAUUCUCUUAGCAUCGCGUUAUCUUUUUGUCUUACCUUGAAAAGGUCUGACUUCUUGGUCUCGACCUUUAUGACUACUACACGUGCUUUUACGAAAGAAUCUGCAAGCAUAGCAAAAGAAUCGAUAGAGUUAGACGGUAAAUUAUGAUACCAUGUUAUUGCUCCUUUUGACAGGGUUUCACCAAUUUUUUUCUAUAAUACGGAUUCGAUCUCGUCGUCUUCUAAAUCAUUUCCUUUAAUGGCACAUGUGUAAGAGGUGACGUGUUCGUUGGAGUUGGUCGUUCCAUUAUAUUUAGGAAUUUCGGGCAUGCGGAACUUCUUGGGGAUCAGUUUUGGAGCUGAGCUCGGGGGGAAGGGCUUUUGUACGAAUUUUUUGGAAUCCAAGACCUUCAAUAUUGGUGGUGCCCUCGGGAUCUGAUCAACCCUGGAAUUAUAAAUUUUCACUUUUUUGUCAUUUGCUUCAAUCCUCCUCUCUUCUGACUCUGUUCGUUUUGUCAGUUCCUCGAGCAUCUUAACAAUUUUGGGAUGUGUCCCCGAUUCUUGCUCAUUUGACCUUACUACAGCUGGCCUUGUUGUGUGGGUGACUUCUCGGGGUGGACUAGGCUCGGGCCUGCUCGGUGCCUAGGUUUGGCUCUGCAACUGAGCUAUCGCUACCUGUUGAGCUUGCAACAUUUCGAAAAUCAUACGCGAGCUGAUUCCGUUUUCCUCAACGUUUUGGGUAUUUCGAGUUGCAGAUCGAGUUCCACCAUGAAUGCUAUUUUCAGGGUCGGAACGUUGGUUUGCCUCGAUGGCCACAUGUGAAUUAACGUCUACUGGCUCUUUGACACGAGCUCCAACGGGAUCGACGAGUGGCCUUUCAUCUCCGGGCGUCAAGUUGCUGUUCUCAUCUUGAAUGCCAGUUUCGUUGUCGAUAGGUAGGGCCAUUAAUAGAGAAUUCGUCGUUUUCAACCUGAAAUUAAAGAUACUUCCAAGAACAAGUGAAAAAAUAGUGUGUUUCAGAGAGGUUCGUACCAAAUAGUCACUAUUAUCCUUAGCCCCACGGUGGACGCCAAACUGUUUACCCGAAAAACGGAUAAGGUUGAAUUUAUACGUGGUUCUAAGGACACGUGGUAUAAAUUGGUACAAACCGGGAAGAUAAGUAGAAAUAUAUUGAAUGUUUAUUGCAAAAAGGAAUGAAAUACAAAUCAAAUUGAUUAGAGAAUGAUUUAUAAACGUGCAAGAUGAAUCAAUGUCUAAAGCUCAAAAAAUGAUAAUCUCUCUAUAUAUCGGUGUAAUAAUCUUUGAAAUGUGAGAGUGUAUCAAUGUAUGCUUCUCUAGAUGUUCAAUUUCCCUUUAUAGAAAUAAUACCCACUCUUAAUAUAGUGGAGGAAUCCUACUUGGGGUAUAAUAAAAAAUACAUAGUGGGGAUCCCAUGAUAGAUUAAUUGAUUAACUUUUCCUCGAUUCCCGUCGAGAUUCUCUCCCUGGUACGGCUACAACAACUCUUUGUCUCUUAGCUCGAUCUUGGCCGGUAUCGGUCGAUCUCUGGAUCUCGAGCUCGAUAUUGACUCGAGCUCGGUAUUGAUCGGUCUCUGACUCUUGAGCUCGAUAACACUACUUCAUGUCAUAACUCGAUAUUGACUCGAGCUCGGUAUCUUGAGCUCGACAACCUGACUUUACUUAUAAUCUCGAUGUUACAAUGACGACCCUUGGUUCAUCAUGUUCUAAUAUCGACUAAUUACACGAAGAGCAAACUCGGAUUUGACCGUAUACACUCUCCUCUCCUCAUUCACUCUUACACAUGCAAAAAGCCCUAGUAGCAGCUGUAAUUUUAGAUUCCAGAUCUGAAUUUUAAAUGCUGCAAAAAACUCUCCAAAACAGAAUCAAAACAUUAAAAAAAAAGAUUUGAAAAGCUGGUAUGAUUUCUGCUGCUUUGUUUCAAUAAUUUCUGGUUGCUCGAGUUGAUUUGGGACUUAAAAUUGAAGCUGUGGUGCUUGUUAUGCAUUGCUGAACUUUUCUCAUCCUUAUUCUGCCUUUAUUUGGCUGGUAUUCUGUUCUGUUUCCUGUUGCGCAUUAGGUACACACCAAAACCCCUUUUGUACUCAUUUUGAUCUAUAUGACUAAUUACUUAAAUCAUCUCUGAAUCUGUGUAUGAGUUCAGUUAUUUAGAUUCUUGUGUUUAUGAGUUUUAACAUGCUCUUAUGUUUGAUUUACAUCUUCUGAUUCCAUGUGAAUUAAUGAAAUCAUGCUCAUUAUAGAAUGAUUUAAUUGAUAGUAAUGAAAUUACAGUGAUUGUAUUUGGAUUGUUCAAAUGUUCAGUAUGCACAGCUGUUUCUCUGGGCUAAUUGAAGCAGCCACUUAUGGAGGGUUUCAAAUCACAAUUUGAUGUACUAAUUUAGCUUUGUAAUUCUGAAAAUGAUCAGUGUUGAUGACUGAGAAUAGUUUAUAGUUAUUUUCAUUUGGUAAUAAUGUGUGUGAGUUAUAUGAAAAAUAAUGGAGUUUUAGAUGGCAUGAAAACUCGUUGGUUUGAACAGUAGUUAAUAUCAAAAUUCUUUUUAAUUUCAUGUAAUAAUGAGUUAACAAAAGGAUUUCGAGCUUUGAUAAUCAUGAACUAAUAUUGGAAGUAGUUAUAGUUAAUUUUUGAG